rnacentral:rRNA from 1 species
CACGUAGGGGGCAAGCGUUGUCCGGAUUUAUUGGGCGUAAAGAGCUCGUAGGUGGCUCGGCAAGUCGGGUGUUAAACCCCCAGGCUCAACCUGGGGACGCCACUCGAUACUGCUGUGGCUAGAGUCCGGUAGGGGAGCGUGGAAUUCCUGGUGUAGCGGUGAAAUGCGCAGAUAUCAGGAGGAACACCAGUGGCGAAGGCGGCUCACUGGACCGGAACUGACGCUGAGGCGCGAAAGCGUGGGGAGCAAACAGG